rnacentral:rRNA from 1 species
AUGAACGCUGGCGGCGUGCCUAAUACAUGCAAGUCGAGCGAACAGACGAGGAGCUUGCUCCUCUGACGUUAGCGGCGGACGGGUGAGUAACACGUGGAUAACCUACUUAUAAGACUGGGAUAACUUCGGGAAACCGGAGCUAAUACCGGAUAAUAUAUUGAACCGCAUGGUUCAAUAGUGAAAGACGGUUUUGCUGUCACUUAUAGAUGGAUCCGCGCCGCAUCAGCUAGUUGGUAAGGUAACGGCUUACCAAGGCAACGAUGCGUAGCCGACCUGAGAGGGUGAUCGGCCACACUGGAACUGAGACACGGUCCAGACUCCUACGGGAGGCAGCAGUAGGGAAUCUUCCGCAAUGGGCGAAAGCCUGACGGAGCAACGCCGCGUGAGUGAUGAAGGUCUUCGGAUCGUAAAACUCUGUUAUUAGGGAAGAACAAAUGUGUAAGUAACUAUGCACGUCUUGACGGUACCUAAUCAGAAAGCCACGGCUAACUACGUG